ensembl:lncRNA
CACCCCUAACCAUUCCCUUUCAGCUCACCCACGCAGGCUUCCUCUAAGCAUACUGAGCUGCCAGGGACGGACAGGGGAGGGGAAUAGAGAGCAUAAUUGCUUUCUUUACUCAGCUUGUAGACAGGCAGACAGUUUAGGCAGAGAGACACAGAAGAACACUUGGAGAGAUUGAGAGGAGGCACAAAAUAAAGAAAGAGAUAAGUAAGAUAAAAGGGAAACAAAUCACCAACAGCAAAAAAAAUGGAUCCCAACAAGAUGCCAAACGCCCCACCACCAGGCUGGAACCCAGAUGAGAAGUCUGGGAUGGGACAACCAGCUCCUCCACCCUACCAGGACCACCCCAACGCAGGAUACCCCGCACCAGCAGGCUACCCUCCCAAUCCCCAGGGCUACGCACCACCGCCACAGUAUGGAGGAGCUCCCGGGGCCCCUUACAGCCAGCCAUACCCCCAGGGACAGUACUCCCCGGGACACUACCCCCAGUCCACCGUCACAGUCCAGCCUACGGUGUUUGUGACCCGUGGAGCUCUGCCUUACCCUCUGCCAGACUACCUUGGCUACUCCAUUUUCACCAUGCUGUGCUGCUGCCUGCCACUUGGCAUCGCUGCACUUAUCUACUCCAUCUCGACUAGAGACGCCAACAACCAGGGUCAUCAGCAGAUUGCUGAGAAGAAUUCUCGUCUAGCGCGGAUACUGAACCACACCGCUCUGGGUAUCGGCAUCACCGUCAUCGUCCUGUACAUCGUCUCUGCCAUCAUCCUGGGCAACCGUAUCAACUGAUCUGACACCUCAACACCGGCUAGCACCACAGCCACCGCUUCUCUCAACCCCAGCACCCAAAAUCAUCAUAACCUUGACCACAUACAAUAGACUAGAGACGCCAACAACCAGGGUCAUCAGCAGAUUGCUGAGAAGAAUUCUCGUCUAGCGCGGAUACUGAACCACACCGCUCUGGGUAUCGGCAUCACCGUCAUCGUCCUGUACAUCGUCUCUGCCAUCAUCCUGGGCAACCGUAUCGACUGAUCUGACACCUCAACACCGGCUAGCACCACAGCCACCGCUUCUCUCAACCCCAGCACCCAAAAUCAUCAUAACCUUGACCACAUACAAUAGGUGACAGGCACUUUCCAAAGAGAUACAUCCCACUGGGGACACACUGGUUGAAUCAACGUUGUUUCCACGUCAUUUCAAUGAAAUGGCGUUGAACCAACGUGGAAUAUACGUUGAAUUGAUGCCUGUGCCCUGUGGGAUAUAUCAUAAUGCUGUUUAUUCAUCAAUGUUUAUGACAUACAUUUUGAAAAACUACAUCUAAUGACUUACUUUUUUUUAAUACCGGCAGACCGGAUAGUUUAAAUCAUUCAUUAUUUUGCCUGUUUAAUUGUAUAUGUAAUAUACAUAAAUAAACACCAAAUUAUGGACACAAAUUGUAUUUUGGAAUAUUUCUAAUACAUUUCUGAAGGAUAGUGUAUGUACAUUCAGUGUUUAUGGAUAAGUCAUAUCAGAGUUUAAAGACCGAUUUGACAAUGUUAUGAGAAUGCAGCAGAAAGAGACUAUUCUUAAAGUCUGAAAUGACAUGUAUUACUGGUUGUCAUUACACAGAGUGCCAGUGAGGUUACCACUCACAAGAGUAAACAUUUUACAACUCAAUGUCAAAUAUUUACUUCUUGUUACACGUGUAACAAUUUCCUCAAUUCAGUGUUCUUUGCUGUCGGCAAUGACACAAGCAAUAUCUAAUUCAACUUAUUUCUGACAACUGUGGAGACUAAGGCCUACAUUCAAUCUGUAGCAUGGAAGGUCCGUUGUAUAGCACGAUUGAAAUUUAAAGGUAAUUUCCGAUUGACUCAACAUAUCCAACAUUUACCGUGAAUGCAGUCUCCUCGAACGCAGGAACAUUUCUUUUUUUCCUUUUGGUACGGAUUGAAUCUAGCUCUAGAAGUCAAAAGGAAUUGCCACACUGUUCCUGUUUGGCCUUUCAGUUGAUUCAUUUGAUAAAAAUGUCCCCACUAUCAAUGUCAUUUAUAGUCACAUAUUGUCAGAUUAUGUAUAACGCUGUAUAGACAUAUAUUUUAUUUUACUAUAUAUUCAGUGAUGCUCAACUUUUCUAUCUACCUCUUCAAUUUUAUCCUUCUCUAAAGUAUGUAGUUGAUGGAAAAAAAUGUUUUUUGUUUGUGAAAACACAAAAGAAGAGGCCAUUAUCAGAAUACAGAUUUGUAAACCAAAAUAUUUUUAAAUAAAGCUCA